AAAUGUUUAUUUAUUUAUAGUUAAUGACAUUUUCUUUUUCUAUAACUUCCUUGUUGUAUUACCGACAUAUGUCGGUGGAAUUGAGUAUUGCACCAAUUCGUGACUAUUUACGCACCACAUGGAGAGAUGAAUGCUAGCUGAUGCUAGCUGAGGCUACCGACAAUAGCCAGCGGAAACGUUAGCUUGGAUUUAAUCUUUAAAAACGGAUGAUACGGACAAUAACAUCUCCUAAAUGUUUGGGAAGAAGGCGCACAAGUGCUGGUUCACAUUUCUCGGCUCCUGAAGGAGGAUCUACCGGUAAUCCUCAGCAGAGGGAGCUAAAAGAUCAGCGCCACCGACUCCAGCAGGCCUGACUGAGGGGAGAGACGUUUCUGCCGGCUGCAUGAUGUAAAAAAACCUCUUCAUACCCUCGUCUUUUGCGUGGUGACAGGCAGAACUUCGGGUUGCCAUGGUGAGCAGCUUGUGCGACGGGUAAUAAUUAAUAGAGCCACAGAACUCGGUUCCGUGACUCAUUACAUUUCGAGAAGUUAAUGAGGAAAUCACAUAGAUCCCCAGGGGCAAAUGACUUCAUAUGUGGAUAAUGUGGACAUUUAAUAAAUGUUUAAAAUUA